UACGGGGGGGGCAAGCGUUGUUCGGAAUUACUGGGCGUAAAGGGCGCGUAGGCGGCCUGCUAAGUCAGAUGUGAAAUCCCUCGGCUCAACCGAGGAACUGCAUCCGAUACUGGCGGGCUUGAAUCCGGGAGAGGGAUGUGGAAUUCCAGGUGUAGCGGUGAAAUGCGUAGAUAUCUGAAGGAACAUCAGUGGCGAAAGCGACUUCCUGGACCAAUACUGACGCUCAUGUGCGAAAGCGUGGGGAGCAAACAGG
rnacentral:rRNA from 1 species